GACGAACGCUGGCGGCGUGCCUAAUACAUGCAAGUCGAGCGGACUGAAUGGGAGCUUGCUCUUGUUCGGUCAGCGGCGGACGGGUGAGUAACACGUGGGCAACCUGCCCGCAAGACCGGGAUAACUCCGGGAAACCGGAGCUAAUACCGGAUAACACCGAAGACCGCAUGGUCUUUGGUUGAAAGGCGGCGCAAGCUGCCACUUGCGGAUGGGCCCGCGGCGCAUUAGCUAGUUGGUGAGGUAACGGCUCACCAAGGCGACGAUGCGUAGCCGGCCUGAGAGGGUGACCGGCCACACUGGGACUGAGACACGGCCCAGACUCCUACGGGAGGCAGCAGUAGGGAAUCUUCCGCAAGAGGCGAAAGCCUGACGGAGCGACGCCGCGGGAGCGAAGAAGGCCGUCGGGUCGUAAAGCUCUGUUGUGAGGGACGAAGGAGCGCCGUUUGAAGAAGGCGGCGCGGUGACGGUACCUCACGAGGAAGCCCCGGCUAACUACGUG
rnacentral:rRNA from 1 species